rnacentral:rRNA from 1 species
UACGGGAGGCAGCAGUGGGGAAUAUUGCACAAUGGGCGCAAGCCUGAUGCAGCCAUGCCGCGUGUAUGAAGAAGGCCUUCGGGUUGUAAAGUACUUUCAGUCGUGAGGAAGGUGUUAAGGUUAAUAACCUUAGCAAUUGACGUUAGCGACAGAAGAAGCACCGGCUAACUCCGUGCCAGCAGCCGCGGUAAUACGGAGGGUGCGAGCGUUAAUCGGAAUUACUGGGCGUAAAGGGCACGCAGGCGGUUAAUUAAGUUGGAUGUGAAAUCCCCGGGCUUAACCUGGGAAUGGCAUUCAAGACUGGUUAGCUAGAGUCUUGUAGAAGGGGGUGAAUUCCAUGUGUAGCGGUGAAAUGCGUAGAGAUGUGGAGGAAUACCGGUGGCGAAGGCGGCCCCUGGGACAAAGACUGACGCUCAUGUGCGAAAGCGUGGGGAGCGAAACAGGGAUAGAUACC